rnacentral:rRNA from 1 species
CGGAGAGGGAGCAUGAGAAACGGCUACCACAUCUAAGGAAGGCAGCAGGCGCGCAAAUUACCCAAUCCUGACACAGGGAGGUAGUGACAAGAAAUAACAAAGCAAGCACCAAUGGUGUUUUGCUAUUGGAAUGAGUAGAAUUUAAAUCUCUUUUCGACUAUCAAUUGGAGGGCAAGUCUGGUGCCAGCAGCCGCGGUAAUUCCAGCUCCAAUAGCGUAUAUUAAAGUUGUUGGGGUAAAAAAGCUCGUAGUUGGAUUUCUGUUGCGAAUGGCCGGUCUUCACUACGUGAAUGUAUCUGGCUCAAUCGUGGCAUCCUCAUAGGAAACGUUGCUGCGCUUCACUGCGUGGUGCGGUGCCUAUGACUUUUACUUUGAGGAAAUUAGAGUGUUCACGGCAGGCAAUCGCCCUGAAUAUGUUAGCAUGGAAUAAUAAUAUAGGAUCUUGGUUCUAUUUUGUUGGUUUCUAGAGCUAAGAUAACGGUUAAUAGGAACAAUUGGGGGCAUUUGUAUUAACAUGUCAGAGGUGGAAUUCUUGGAUUAUGUUACGACAAACUACUGCGAAAGCAUUUGCCAAGGAUGUUUUCAUUGAUCAAGAACGAAAGUAAGGGGAUCGAAGAUGAUUAGAUACCGUCGUAGUCUUUACCAUAAACUAUGUCAACUCGGGAUGUAGCGUCGUUCUUUUUAUGACUCGCUGCGCACCGUAUGAGAUAUCAAAGUUUUUGGAUUCCGGGGGGAGUAUGGUCGCAAGGCUGAAACUUAAGGAAUUGACGGAAGGGCACCACCAGGAGUGGAGCCUGCGAUUUAAUUCGACUCAACACGGGAAAACUCAUCAGGUCCAGACAUAGUGAGGAAGGACAGAAUGAUAGUUCUGUCUUGAUUGUAUGGGUGGCGGGGCAUGUCCGAUCUUAGGGAGUGGAGUGUUUUGUUAGCUUAAUUGCGUUAACGAACGAGACCUCAACAUAUUAAAUAGACCAUCCUAUCAUCGGAUAAGGUGCUGUUUUAUUAGAGGGACUCUGUUCAGUUCAGGGUAGGGAAGUUUGAGUCUAAAUCAGGUCUGUAAUGACAUUAGAUGUUCUGGGCUCCACGCGCGCUACACUGAUGCGUUCAACGAGAGUAAAACCAUGCCAGGCAGGGUAGUGUAAUGUUCUGAACUCGCAUCGUGAAGGGGAUAGAUUAUUGCAAUUUUUAAUCCUCAGCGAGGAAAUUAUAGUAAAUUGAAGUCAUCAGAUUGGAUUGAUUACGUCCCUUCCCUUUGUACACACCUCCCGUCGCUUGUACCGAUUGAGCGGUUCGGUGAAUACUUUGGCACGACACCGGUAUGGGUUCGCUCAUUUUGGCAAAGGAAAAUAGAGUUAACCUCAACGAGGAGAAGAGA